rnacentral:rRNA from 1 species
UACGGGGGGGGCAAGCGUUGUUCGGAAUUACUGGGCGUAAAGGGCACGUAGGCGGCCUGCUAAGUCGGAUGUGAAAUCCCUCGGCUCAACCGAGGAACUGCAUCCGAUACUGGCGGGCUUGAAUCCGGGAGAGGGAUGUGGAAUUCCAGGUGUAGUGGUGAAAUGCGUAGAGAUCCGGGGGAACACCAGUGGCGAAGGCGACACGCUGGGCCGUACCUGACACUGAUGCGCGACAGCGUGGGGAGCAAACAGG